rnacentral:rRNA from 1 species
CCUACGGGUGGCAGCAGUGAGGAAUCUUGGUCAAUGGACGAGAGUCUGAACCAGCCAAGUAGCGUGAAGGAUGACUGCCCUAUGGGUUGUAAACUUCUUUUAUAAAGGAAUAAAACGAGGCACGUGUGCCUUUUUGCAUGUAAUUUAUGAAUAAGAGUAGGCUAACUCCGAGUCAGUAGCCGCGGUAAUACGGAGGGGCCGAGCUCUAUCCGGAUUUAUUGGGUUUAAAGGGAGCGGAGAUGGGUUGUUAAGGCAGUUGUGAAAGUUUGCGGCUCAACCGUAAAAUUGCAAUUGUUACUGGCAGUCUUGAGUACAGUUGAGGUAGGCGGAAUUCGUGGUGUAGCGGUGAAAUGCUUAGAUAUCACGAAGAACUCCGAUGGCGAAGGCAGCUUACUAAACUGCCACUGACAUUGAUGCUCGAAAGUGUGGGUAUCAAACAGGAUUAGAUACCCUAGUAGUC